rnacentral:rRNA from 1 species
AUUGAACGCUGGCGGCAGGCCUAACACAUGCAAGUCGAGCGCGCGGCGGACGGGUGAGUAAUGUCUGGGAAACUGCCUGUUGGAGGGGGAUAUCUACUGGAAACGGUAGCUAAUACCGCAUACCAUCAGAUGUGCCCACAUGGGAUUAGCGAGUAGGUGGGGUAAAGGCUCACCUAGGCGACGCUCCCUAGCUGGUCUGAGAGGAUGACCAGCAACACGGGAACUGAGACACGGUCCAGACUCCUACGGGAGGCAGCAGUGGGGAAUAUUGCACAAUGGGCGAAAGCCUGAUGCAGCCAUGCCGCGUGUAUGAAGAAGGCCUUCGGGUUGUAAAGUACUUUCAGCGGGGAGGCGUUACCCGCAGAAGAAGCACCGGCUAACUCCGUGCCAGCAGCCGCGGUAAUUC